GAAGCUUGCUUCCUAUGAAAUCGAAAGGCAAACGGGUGAGUAACGCGUAAACAACCUGCCCUUCGGAUGGGGAUAACAGCCGGAAACGGCUGCUAAUACCGAAUACGAUCUUUUCGUCGCAUGACGAAAAGAAGAAAGGAUGGCCUCUAUACAAAGCUAUCGCCGAAGGAGGGGUUUGCGUCUGAUUAGCUGGUUGGAGGGGUAACGGCCCAACAAGGCGAUGAUCAGUAGCCGGUCUGAGAGGAUGAACGGCCACAUUGGGACUGAGACACGGCCCAGACUCCUACGGGAGGCAGCAGUGGGGAAUCUUCCGCAAUGGACGAAAGUCUGACGGAGCAACGCCGCGUGAGUGAAGAAGGUCUUCGGAUUGUAAAGCUCUGUUAUACGGGACGAAAAAGACGGAUGCCAACAGUAUCCGUCCGUGACGGUACCGUAAGAGAAAGCCACGGCUAACUACGUGCCAGCAGCCGCGGUAAUACGUAGGUGGCAAGCGUUGUCCGGAAUUAUUGGGCGUAAAGGGCGCGCAGGCGGUUCGGUAAGUCUGUCUUAAAAGUGCGGGGCUUAACUCCGUGAGGGGACGGAAACNNNNGAACUUGAGUGUCNNA
rnacentral:rRNA from 1 species